rnacentral:rRNA from 1 species
GUGCACCAGUCGAGAAUACUUUACAAUGUGCGAAAGCACGAUAAGGGAACUCUGAGUGCCUCCUAAGGAGGCUGUUCUGAUGUCUAAAAAGCAACAGAAGUAAGGGCUGGGUAAGACCGGUGCCAGCCGCCGCGGUAACACCGGCAGCCCAAGUGGUAGCCACGUUUAUUGGGUCUAAAGCGUUCGUAGUCGGCCAGGUAAGUUCCUUGGUAAAUUUAGCCGCUUAACGGUUAAGCUUUCAGGGAAUACUGCUUGGCUUGGGACUGGGAGAGGUCAGAGGUACUCCGGGGGUAGGGGUGAAAUCUAUUAAUCCCUGGGGGACCACCGGUAGCGAAGGCGUCUGACCAGACCAGGUCCGACGGUGAGGGACGAAGGCUAGGGGCGCGAACCGGAUUAGAUACCC